UACGUAGGUGGCAAGCGAUACUCGGAAUCACUAGGCGUAAAGCGCAGGUAGGCGGUUUGGAAAGUCUCUUGUGAAAGCUCCCGGCUUAACUGGGAGAGGUCAAGGGAAACUACUAGGCUAGAGUGCGGUAGAGGUAGCUGGAAUUCCCGGUGUAGCGGUGAAAUGCGUAGAUAUCGGGAGGAAUACCUAUGGCGAAAGCAGGCUACUGGACCGUCACUGACUCUGAUCUGCGAAAGCUAGGGGAGCAAACAGG
rnacentral:rRNA from 1 species